GCUUCACAGCGGAACUUCCAAGUCUUCCUCUCCUACAUCACUCCUGAGGUGUGUGCAACCAUUCAGCCAUCCUGGUCAACCCACUGUCUGUAAGAAGAAUACUAGUAUCAAUUCCUACUGUCACUACCAUUAUCUACCUCUCCAACGGAUAUACUCACCUGCAUCACUUCCACGCCUUCAGAUAUACCUGUUUCAAAAAACCAUCUGUCAACUAACUUUCUGUUCCCUAGUCUGUAUUGUUACAGAAGAUCAGACCAAAACAGAGAAUUAACUGGGCUGAUGAUUAUAUGUGUGAGAUCCUGCAGGGGGGAAGGUCUAUGGAGUAUGUGGAUGAGUUUUUGAGUCUGAUACCUCUGCGGAAAUCUCCUAACCUUCAGAGUUCCUCCAGCGCUCCUCCAACGAUCUCCUCUUCCAAGUCUUCCUCUCCUACAUCACUCCCGAGAUACUUACCUGCAUCACUUCCCCGCCUUCAGAUAUACCUGUCUCAAUAAAUCAUCUGUCAUCUGUUCCUGAGUCCGUUUUGUUACAC